GACCCAUGUUGUACUCUCUCCACUGGCACCUAAUAUGUAGCAAGGCCAACAACUCCUUCUGUACUCACCACAUGAAGCAUAGACUCAAAAAUCAACACUUUGGUACAGUGUCAGGAGACCCAUACUGCAAAUUCAGCCCUGGAAGAAGCAGUAGAGAUGCCUUCUGGACAGUUUCAUCUCUUCCUUGCAAGCCUGCUAUGAAGGAGCCUCGUGAGAGAAGUCACGCGCACAUAGUGGGAGUCUCUUCCGUUUCCCAUCACGUGCUGCUCAGAGCCUUUGCGUUGAACGUUCAGCCUAUGAUCCUUCCUGUGUGCUUCCCACUCCUGUGGCUUCUUCUCCGUCAACAGAUUCCAACUUGUCAGAACUCAUAAAGUGCACAUGUCACCCUCCACAUGCUUUGUGGUACCCCUGGUCUUGGUUACACCAAUUCUGAAGUGGAGUGCCCAACACGCCUGAUUCCUUGGCUUGAAGGAAAGAACACUGAAUCAGAAGCUAGAAAGCCUGGAUUCGUGUCCCAGGCCUGUGCCACACCACCUGGUGACCUAACAGGUUGUUUUACAACCAUGUUCUACUCUUUCUCUCCCUGAGUGAUAAAUGCAUUCUGAAUUAUACACCCAUAGAAUGUGUGCUCACCUACCCUUCUCCCUAGAUAAAGACUAUUAGUC
ensembl:lncRNA